GAUGAACGCUGGCGGCGUGCCUAAUACAUGCAAGUCGAGCGAACGGACGAGAAGCUUGCUUCUCUGAUGUUAGCGGCGGACGGGUGAGUAACACGUGGAUAACCUACCUAUAAGACUGGGAUAACUUCGGGAAACCGGAGCUAAUACCGGAUGAUAUUUUGAACCGCAUGGUUCAAAAGUGAAAGACGGUCUUGCUGUCACUUAUAGAUGGAUCCGCGCUGCAUUAGCUAGUUGGUAAGGUAAAGGCUUACCAAGGCAACGAUGCAUAGCCGACCUGAGAGGGUGAUCGGCCACACUGGAACUGAGACACGGUCCAGACUCCUACGGGAGGCAGCAGUAGGGAAUCUUCCGCAAUGGGCGAAAGCCUGACGGAGCAACGCCGCGUGAGUGAUGAAGGUCUUCGGAUCGUAAAACUCUGUUAUUAGGGAAGAACAUAUGUGUAAGUAACUGUGCACAUCUUGACGGUACCUAAUCAGAAAGCCACGGCUAACUACGUG
rnacentral:rRNA from 1 species